rnacentral:rRNA from 1 species
GAUGAACGCUAGCGGGAGGCUUAACACAUGCAAGUCGAGGGGCAGCACGGGUAGCAAUACCUGGUGGCGACCGGCGCAAGGGUGCGUAACGCGUGAGCAACAUGCCCUAUACAGGGGGAUAAUCCAGGGAAACUUGGUCUAAUAUCCCAUAGCAUUUAGAGGAGGCAUCUUCACUAAAUUAAAGCUUCGGUGGUAUAGGAUUGGCUCGCGUGACAUUAGCUGGAUGGUGGGGUAACGGCUCACCAUGGCGAUGAUGUCUAGGGGUUCUGAGAGGAAGACCCCCAACUGGGACUGAGACACGGCCCAGACUCCACGGGAGGCAGCAGUGAGGAAUAUUGGACAAUGGAUGGAAAUCUGAUCCAGCCAUGCCGCGUGCAGGAAGACGGCCCUAUGGGUUGUAAACUGCUUUUAUAUGGGAGCAAUAAGGUUACGCGUAGACCGAUGAGAGUACCAUAUGAAUAAGCAUCGGCUAACUCCGUG